CAAAUAUGCACCAGAGGAUGUUACCAAGCAAUCAAGAUCGCUUCUCACUUUUCCAUGAUAACUGAGAAUUUAGCUCGCCUUGCCUACUAUGAAUGCAGAGAUUGCAUGUGCUUCGAUAUUUUUUGGUAUAAUGAGUUAGAUGGUGUGUUUUUUGAAAUAUGGCAGCGGAUCACAAAGCUGAAGGAGAGUUUCAAGGAGGCUUUGAAUGAAGUCUUUAAAUCGGAGAAGUUUCCACUACGCCAUCAUGAAAUGAAAGAUGCGCUGGACAAUGACUGCAACUGCUCUGAGAUGGAAAAGGAUUUUCGUAUUUGCACAGUAGGCAUUACUCCGGAAGUGACAGAGGAUAAAGGUCGAGAGUUGAUCGCAUAUGCUAUAAGACACCAGAGGAGAAGACCAAAGUUCUAUGCGCACUAUAUAUGUUGAAAAGAAGAUAGGAGUCGCCAAAGCUAUUGGAGUGAUUCCCACCGUAGUAACUUCGGAUUCCUAGUUACUUAAUUAGUCCAUAAUUAGUGAAGUAUUUAUCUGAAUCUGUUCUGGUGGAUAACGAGACAAGAUUUGCAGCCUGACAACUGUUUUAUAAUACUAUUUAUUGCAGGAUUGGGUAAGCAGAUAGGUUUUGCUUGAAUUGUACUAGAUCCGUAGGAUGGUUCUUCAACAAUUGGCGUUUGUAUUAUGCUGCUGCUUGUCUGGCAGCAAAUAUUUAUCACCUUGCUAUUUUUUCUGUCGCAAGCGGCAAAAAUGGAUUAACCAAUUUUAAAUUGCAUGAUA